AGGGCACUACCAGGAGUGGAUCCUGCGGCUCAAUUUGACUCAACACGGGAAAGCUCACCUGGUCCGGACACUGGAAGGAUUGACAGAUUAAGGGCUCUUUCUUGAUUCAGUGGGUGGUGGUGCAUGGCCGUUCCUAGUUGGUGGAGCAGUUUGUCUGGUUAAUUCCGAUAACGAACGAGGCUCUAGCCUACUAAAUAGGUGUUCCGAUCCCAUCAGUCGGACGCUCUUCUUAGAGGGACAAGCGGCGUUUAGCCGCACGAGACAGAGCAAUAACAGGUCUGUGAUGCCCUUAGAUGUCCGGGGCCGCACGCGCGCUACACUGAAGGAACCAGCGUGUGUCCCUGUCCGGCAGGACUGGGUAAUCCGUUGAACCUCCUUCGUGAUAGGGAUAGGGGCUUGUAAUUGUUCCCCUUGAACGAGGAAUUCCCAGUAAGCGUGAAUCAUCAGUUCACGUUGAUUACGUCCCUGGCCUUUGUACACACCGCCCGUCGCUACUACUGAUUGGAUGAUUUAGUGAGG
rnacentral:rRNA from 1 species